UACGUAGGCAGCGAGCGUUGUUCGGAGUUACUGGCGUAAAGCGUGCGCAGGCGGUUUUGUAAGUCUGUCGUGAAAGCCCCGGGCUCAACCUGGGAAUUGCGAUGGAGACUGCAAGGCUUGAAUCUGGCAGAGGGGGGUAGAAUUCCACGUGUAGCAGUGAAAUGCGUAGAGAUGUGGAGGAACACCGAUGGCGAAGGCAGCCCCCUGGGUCAAGAUUGACGCUCAUGCACGAAAGCGUGGGGAGCAAACAGG
rnacentral:rRNA from 1 species